GGAGCUUGCUUCCUGGUGGCGAGCGGCGGACGGGUGAGUAAUGCAUAGGAAUCUGCCCGGUAGUGGGGGAUAACCUGGGGAAACCCAGGCUAAUACCGCAUACGCCCUACGGGGGAAAGCAGGGGCUCUUCGGACCUUGCGCUAUCGGAUGAGCCUAUGUCGGAUUAGCUAGUUGGUGAGGUAAUGGCUCACCAAGGCGACGAUCCGUAGCUGGUCUGAGAGGAUGAUCAGCCACAUCGGGACUGAGACACGGCCCGAACUCCUACGGGAGGCAGCAGUGGGGAAUAUUGGACAAUGGGGGCAACCCUGAUCCAGCCAUGCCGCGUGUGUGAAGAAGGCCCUCGGGUUGUAAAGCACUUUCAGUGAGGAAGAAGGCCUUGGGCUUAAUACGCCCAAGGAAGGACAUCACUCACAGAAGAAGCACCGGCUAACUCCGUGCCAGCAGCCGCGGUAAUACGGAGGGUGCGAGCGUUAAUCGGAAUUACUGGGCGUAAAGCGCGCGUAGGUGGCUUGAUAAGCCGGUUGUGAAAGCCCCGGGCUCAACCUGGGAACGGCAUCCGGAACUGUCAGGCUAGAGUGCAGGAGAGGAAGGUAGAAUUCCCGGUGUAGCGGUGAAAUGCGUAGAGAUCGGGAGGAAUACCAGUGGCGAAGGCGGCCUUCUGGACUGACACUGACACUGAGGUGCGAAAGCGUGGGUAGCAAACAGGAUUAGAUACCCUGGUAGUCCACGCCGUAAACGAUGUCGACUAGCCGUUGGGAGCCUUGAGUUCUUAGUGGCGCAGUUAACGCGAUAAGUCGACCGCCUGGGGAGUACGGCCGCAAGGUUAAAACUCAAAUGAAUUGACGGGGGCCCGCACAAGCGGUGGAGCAUGUGGUUUAAUUCGAUGCAACGCGAAGAACCUUACCUACCCUUGACAUCCUCGGAAUCUGCCGGAGACGGCGGAGUGCCUUCGGGAACCGAGUGACAGGUGCUGCAUGGCUGUCGUCAGCUCGUGUUGUGAAAUGUUGGGUUAAGUCCCGUAACGAGCGCAACCCCUGUCCCUAUUUGCCAGCGAUUCGGUCGGGAACUCUAGGGAGACUGCCGGUGACAAACCGGAGGAAGGUGGGGACGACGUCAAGUCAUCAUGGCCCUUACGGGUAGGGCUACACACGUGCUACAAUGGCAGGUACAAAGGGUUGCAAGACGGCGACGUGGAGCUAAUCCCAUAAAGCCUGCCUCAGUUCGGAUCGGAGUCUGCAACUCGACUCCGUGAAGUCGGAAUCGCUAGUAAUCGUGAAUCAGAAUGUCACGGUGAAUACGUUCCCGGGCCUUGUACACACCGCCCGUCACACCAUGGGAGUGGACUGCACCAGAAGUGGUAGCUUAACCCUCGGGAGAGCG
rnacentral:rRNA from 1 species